rnacentral:misc_RNA from 1 species
GAUGAAGAACGUAGCGAAAUGCGAUAAGUAAUGUGAAUUGCAGAAUUCAGUGAAUCAUCGAAUCUUUGAACGCACAUUGCGCCCCCCGGCAUUCCGGGGAGCAUGCCUGUUCGAGCGUCUCUUGGAAUACCCCUCACGCCGGCGGAGGCGUGGUCAUGGCGGCGGUGGCGUGCCCCGAGAGGGAGGCCACCGCGCUGGAAUCCAUGGGCGGACGCCUGCCGCGUGGCCGAGCGUGAUAAGACGCACUGGCGCUCGCGCGCGGCGAGGCUGCCGGCCCUGGCCCGCUCGUCAGGCGGGGACAGCAACACUUGGGAACUCCUCGAAUCAGGUAGGGAUACCCGCUGAACUUAAGCAUAUCAAUAAGCGGAGGA